ACAUGCAGUCGAGGGGUAUUUAUCUUCGGAUAGAGAGACCGGCGCACGGGUGCGUAACGCGUAUGCAAUCUACCUUUUACAGAGGGAUAGCCCAGAGAAAUUUGGAUUAAUACCUCAUAGUAUAUAGACUCGGCAUCGAGAUUAUAUUAAAGUCACAACGGUAAAAGAUGAGCAUGCGUCCCAUUAGCUAGUUGGUAAGGUAACGGCUUACCAAGGCUACGAUGGGUAGGGGUCCUGAGAGGGAGAUCCCCCACACUGGUACUGAGACACGGACCAGACUCCUACGGGAGGCAGCAGUGAGGAAUAUUGGACAAUGGGCGCAAGCCUGAUCCAGCCAUGCCGCGUGCAGGAUGACGGUCCUAUGGAUUGUAAACUGCUUUUAUACGAGAAGAAACACUACUUCGUGAAGUAGCUUGACGGUAUCGUAAGAAUAAGGAUCGGCUAACUCCGUGCCAGCAGCCGCGGUAAUACGGAGGAUCCAAGCGUUAUCCGGAAUCAUUGGGUUUAAAGGGUCCGUAGGCGGUUUAAUAAGUCAGUGGUGAAAGCCCAUCGCUCAACGGUGGAACGGCCAUUGAUACUGUUAGACUUGAAUUAUUAGGAAGUAACUAGAAUAUGUAGUGUAGCGGUGAAAUGCUUAGAGAUUACAUGGAAUACCAAUUGCGAAGGCAGGUUACUACUAAUUGAUUGACGCUGAUGGACGAAAGCGUGGGUAGCGAACAGGAUUAGAUACCCUGGUAGUCCACGCCGU
rnacentral:rRNA from 1 species